rnacentral:rRNA from 1 species
CACCAGACUCCUACGGGAGGCAGCAGUGGGGAAUAUUGCACAAUGGGGGAAACCCUGAUGCAGCAACGCCGCGUGAGUGAAGAAGUAUUUCGGUAUGUAAAGCUCUAUCAGCAGGGAAGAAGAUGACGGUACCUGAGUAAGAAGCCCCGGCUAACUACGUGCCAGCAGCCGCGGUAAUACGUAGGGGGCAAGCGUUAUCCGGAUUUACUGGGUGUAAAGGGAGCGUAGACGGUGAGACAAGUCUGAAGUGAAAGCCCGGGGCUCAACCCCGGGACUGCUUUGGAAACUGCCUGACUGGAGUGCUGGAGAGGCAAGCGGAAUUCCUAGUGUAGCGGUGAAAUGCGUAGAUAUUAGGAAGAACACCAGUGGCGAAGGCGGCCUGCUGGGCUUUUACUGACGCUGAGGCUCGAAAGUGUGGGGAGCAAACAGGAUUAGAUACCCCAGUA